CCUUGGAAUAUCUCUCAGAGGUUACAAACUUCUGUUUUCAAAUCCUGCAGCGAUGAGGAUACGGUAGCGGCGGCACUUGAGACCGGAAACUCCACCAUCUGGCUCCUUAGCUGCUAUAUGGCGCAUGACCAUGGUGAACAACCGCCAAACGACCUGGUCAGAGAUCUAAUGCGCGAAGCAAAUAGGCGUCACGUUCCUGUGAUAAUUGGCGCUGAUGCAAAUGCUCAUCACAGUGUCUGGGGCAGUUCAGACACCAACAGUAGAGAGGUUCAGAACCUACUUUUGUUGUGACAAACAGAAAGGAAGUUCUGGAUAUUACAGCUAUUAGUACAAACUACAUAGAAUUGAUCAAAGAUUGGAAUGUCUCCAAUGACUGCUCCUUCUCUGAUCACCGCUACCUGGACUUUGACAUAGUGGUCCAGGUCAAAGUUUCAAAACCCUUUCUAAAUAGAAGGAAAACAAAUUGGGAGAGGCACAAAGCUUCUCUGA